rnacentral:rRNA from 1 species
GAUGAACGCUAGCGAUAGGCUUAACACAUGCAAGUCGAGGGGCAGCACAAGGUAGCUUGCUAUCUGGGUGGCGACCGGCGCACGGGUGCGUAACGCGUAUGCAACUUGCCCUAUACAGGAGGAUAACCCGUCGAAAGACGGACUAAUACUGCGUAUGCUCACAACUUGGCAUCAAGUGGUGAGGAAAGAAAUUCGGUAUAGGAUAGGCAUGCGUCCCAUUAGCUUGUUGGUGAGGUAACGGCUCACCAAGGCAACGAUGGGUAGGGGAACUGAGAGGUUUAUCCCCCACACUGGUACUGAGACACGGACCAGACUCCUACGGGAGGCAGCAGUGAGGAAUAUUGGUCAAUGGGCGCGAGCCUGAACCAGCCAAGUCGCGUGAAGGAUGACUGCCUUAUGGAUUGUAAACUUCUUUUAUACGGGAAUAACAAGAGUCACGUGUGACUCCCUGCAUGUACCGUAUGAAUAAGCAUCGGCUAACUCCGUG